CAAUAGCGUAUAUUAAAGUUGUUGCAGUUAAAAAGCUCGUAGUUGGAUUUCUGCCAGGGUGCCAAUGUCCGCCGAAGUGCGUGCGCAGCGGCGCCCUCGCAUCCUUCUGUUAACGCCUCUCGGCAUUUACUUGCCGGUGGUGGGCUCAGAUAAUUUACCUUGAGAAAAUUAGAGUGUUUCAGGCAGGCUAGGCCGGAAUACAUUAGCAUGGAAUAAUGGAAUAGGACUACGGUCUCGUUGUUGGUUUGAGGGACUGGAGUAAUGAUUAAUAGGGAUAGUUGGGGGCAUUAGUAUUUAAUUGUCAGAGGUGAGAUUCUCAGAUUUGUUAAAGACUAACUUAUGCGAAAGCAUUUGCCAAGGAUGUUUUCAUUAA
rnacentral:rRNA from 1 species